UACAGAGGGUGCAAGCGUUGUUCGGAAUUAUUGGGCGUAAAGGGCGCGUAGGCGGUGCUGUAAGUCUGUGGUGAAAUCUCUGGGCUCAACUCAGGAAUUGCUUCGAAUACUGGCGUGCUUUGAGGCUAGUAGGGGUCACUGGAACUGACGGUGGAGCGGUGAAAUGCGUAGAUAUCGUCAGGAACGCCGAUGGUGAAGACAGGUGACUGGGCUGU
rnacentral:rRNA from 1 species